rnacentral:rRNA from 1 species
AUUGAACGCUGGCGGCAGGCUUAACACAUGCAAGUCGAGCGAGCGGAGGACGGGUGAGACAUGUGUGUGAAACUGCCUGAUGGAGGGGGAUAACUCCUGGAAACGGUAGCUAAUACCGCAUACCAUCAGAUGUGCCCAGAUGGGAUUAGCUAGUAGGUGGGGUAAUGGCUCACCUAGGAGACGGUCCAUAGCUGGUCUUAGAGGGUGACCAGCCACACUGAAACUGAGACACGUUCCAGACGCCUACGGGAGGCAGCAGGGGGGAAUAUUGCGCAAUGGGCGCAAGCCUGAUGCAGCCAUGCCGCGUGUGUGAAGAAGGCCUUCGGGUUGUAAAGCACUUUCAGCGGGGAGGCGUUACUCGCAGAAGAAGCACCGGCUAACUCCGUGCCAGCAGCCGCGGUAAUUC